GGCUCCAUAGUGUAGUGGUUAGCACGUCUGCUUUACACGCAGCAGAAGGUCCUGGGUUCAUGCUCCAGGUGGAGCCA
rnacentral:tRNA from 1 species